AUACUUACCUGGCAGGGGGGAUACCAUGAUCAGGAAGGUGGUUCUCCCAGGGUGAGGCUCUACCAUUGCACUUGAGGUGUGCUGACCCCUGCGGUUUCUCCACAUGCGGGGAAACUCGACUGCAUAAUUUGUGGUAGUGGGGGACUGCGUUCGCGCUCUCCCCUG